CCGCAGUCCCAAAAGAAAUUCGCCCCAAACCACGGAAAUUGGCCCGCCGCGCUGCCUGAAAUACACCCCAACGCCCACCUCAAUUCAUGCCCACACCGGGCACAUCGGUCCACCGGGGCCGAAAACCACCCACACGCAACCCGACCCAGAUCCCUCCAGCUCUCACUGAAACUACCCCAACCUUGCUGAAAUGGAUUCCCAGCCCUCGCUGAAGGUUCCGGUCGUCACUGGCCACCUGCCCCUCACCAAACCCCACCGUAUUCCACCAAACUCUUAACACUGAAAUCCCCUGGGCGUCUGAAACGUAUUUUUACGAACUCCGAACCCCAGCGCUAGCGAAAACCUCCGAAAAACUCAGACUGCCUCCCAUGGCCAGCCACAGACUCAUUCGAACUCCUUGGACCUGUGCUCCCCUCCUGAUGCUGACCCACCUACUCACACUACUGUAUCUCUUGGCUCAGGACUCUGUUUCUGCCUUUUGAAGGAGAACCCUGCCCCCUCUGCUUCUGCCCUUUACGGGAGGACCCCACCGCUGUUCGUUUCUCCCUUUAAGCACUCAUUCCUCUUCCCUUUGAGGCCUAUUUGCCUUGCUUUCUCUUUCCACCUUUAACAUUAGCCCCCAGGGGCUGCGUCUUUAGUUUCCUUGACUCCACUGUCCAAGCCUUGGCCCUUGCUCCUUUCCCCCUUCAGUUUCCUUUAAUUCAUGCUUCUAGGUUCUUUCCCCACCAUCUCCCAAGAUCCUGAUGUCUUUUCUUUACCUCACUACGUAUUUGUUAACUCAGCUUAUCUCCUAAUGCCCUCACCCUCGUUUCUUCCAGAACCCUGGAGUCCGCUAACCUUUCUCAUCCCAUCAAACCCCUCCCUGUGACAACCCAGCACUUACUGAAAUCUCCACCUGUCCCAAAUCUUAAAUUAGGGUCGGUACCCAGAAAAUUCUCUGCACUCUGUUAGCACCUCUUCCCCUGGACCACAGAACCCUUCUUGCCUAUUACUUGCUACCUAUAUUUUUAAACACCAACAAUUUGAUUUCCAGGGUGAGUUCAUCGCUGUUUACAUUUAAAUGAAGUGACUACAUUUGUUGUAUACUGAUUAAAGGUUGUAUUAUGGAACAAAGGCUAGGCCUUAUCCCCAAAGGAAGUAAAGUCAAUUUGUGAAUGGAAAUAAAACAAAUCCUUCUUCUUACAUUUCUUAAACAGUAACAACAACAACAACAACAACAUCAACAACAACAAAAGAACCUACCAGGGAAGAAUGCCUGGAACUGAAUCAGGUUCCAGGCAGCCGGAGUGAAUUUUCCCUGGCGCCCCGUGACUAAUGGGCAGAGCUAUCCCCUGGGCGUGCAGAUUCCUUCCCUUACCUCCACUUUGGAAGGCCUUUCCCUUGUAGCAGAGGAACUCUGAGGUCCCUCUGUCAUUGCAGAAUACCCAGGAGGCAGCGGUGGAGAGGACAAGAACAGCCAGGAGCCCCGACCAGCACGGAAUGCUGUGGCCGAGGCAGAGCCGGACAAGCUGGGAUGAUCAGGAGACCCACGGAGUUAUAAGGAAAAGCCAGCUGGGGAAAGAGUCUCUUUCGGAUAAAAGGAGGGGAGGCAGCAGAGACCCAAAUUUUGAGAUCCUUCCUCAGUGGCACUGAAAGAGGCAGGGUGCUGCCAUGGCCCCAGAGAUGGGCAUGGGGAAAGAGCAAGGAGUCCAUGGAAAUUCUGCUUGUUCGUGAUGGUGAACUGGAGUGGCCUGGAUAUUUGAAUCGGCACCCUGGGUUUUUCAGCAGAUACCGGGGUUUUUCAGGGUGUGAAACCUGAGUCAGGGAGGCUGAAUACCUUGGCCAAAGUCACACAACAGAGCAAGGGAUGGAGUCCGGAUUGUGAGCCUGUAAGAGAGAGACAGAACAUGAGCUGGGGAGGAACAGAGAGAAAGGGAGACACAGAAUCCGACACAGGCUCCAGGUUCCGAGCUGUCAGCACAGAACCCGACGCGAGGCUCGAACCCACAAACCAUGGGAUCGUGACCUGAGCCGAAGUCGGCCGCCCAACUGACUGAGCCACCCAGGGGCCCCUAAAAUGGAUAUUUUACUUGGCCUCUCUGGAGAGAAGAGUGUUCCUAAAACAAAACCUCGGAUGACAUUCACGGAUGUCCAGCUCAUCAGGCAUGCUGCCGAGGGAUUGACUUCCCAACGUCCUCCCGGGUGGUCAUCACUGACGCUGCAGGGUCGGCCGGACUCCUCGCUGGCCUCACGUGUCAGAACAGAGGUGGCCGUGAGGGAUCUGGGAGCUUGCCUGGACCUGUGGUCGAGGAGUGAUGUGCGCGCGGUCAUGGGUGUGACAGAACUGGCCGAGACGUGUCCUUCACUGGAGAUGUGGCUUCAUAUCUGGGCCCUCCUGCCCCCAUCACAUGUGAUGGAGCAUAUCUGUAGAUUGCUUUAUACUUGGGAAGGAUGCAACGCAUUCACGAGCUCACUGGAUUUUCACACGGCAACUCCAGGAAACCCAAGCUCUUAUCUGAAAUGUAUACAUCAGAGCACUGAGUCCUGGAGGGUAUCUCUUGGACAAAUCCCAGUGUACUAUCCUUCUUCCCUGCAAACGUGGGAUCGGGUAAAACUGGAUUUUAAAGACUGUUGAGUCAGGCACGACAGGGAGUGGUCUUUAGGAACACCCCAGGGUGUGCUGCUUAGCCGAGGGGCUGUAUGCUGGAUCAAAUGCCAUUUGUCCUUCCAGCCCCAUUCUCUUCUCUUCUUUGCCCUGUGCCCUGGGAAGUUGAUCCUGAAAGACUGCUUCUAUGGGUUCCAUUGCCCUGUGGCUUCUUCUGGUUGGAAUCAGACAAUGGCCAGCACCGGUAGGAGAUUGGGGUGGCAGGAGGGGGGCAUCGCAGGGUAUUCUCCCAGCCAGGAGACCAUGGCUAAGUUCAGGGAGCCUUGCUCCUGUGGACCCCAGGGCGUUGCAAUACUCCUUGUUGGUUUCCUUACACUCGGCUCGCAUCUUUAAGAAGAGCCCCUUUUUGCACUCCCCGCCCCCGUUGCAGAUAUCAUGUACUACCUGAAUCUGCUGGGAGCUCAUACAAUUCACUAUGCAGGUAGUGAGCGGACUUGAAAAAGUGGUUUGUCACACGCAUUGAAGAGAGUAUUGAGUGUAGGCAUCUGCUCUUGAUCGGCAGGCUGAGUAAGGACCGGCUGUAUCUCUCCCGGCACUAAUCGGUGGACUUGAAUCAUCUCUCCUGACAGAUAGCUUCUUUUCCUCCAGUUCCUGCCCCGUCAGGAAUUUUCCACAUGGUAGGAUUUCCAGAUAACGAAAUGUCCACUUGAGAGGCUCUGACUCUGAAAGAGUGGCCCAGGGGCCAGUGGAGUUUCUCCUGGUGCCGGCGGGGGCCGUUUUGUGCCUUGUGUCCAGUGGGGUGCCAGUGCCAGUGAUGGUUUCCGGGGUCCAGAAGGGUCCACAUGGUCCCUGCCACAACAAAACUCCUGGUUGGCGAGAAGGCUGAACUUAGAGCCCGUUCAAUUCUGUACAAGUGCUACUGUUCGUCGAUAGCUUUGUAAAGUACGUGUGAGGAUUAUCAUAGCAAACCCUGACCAAAGCAGAGAAAGGAGAAAAAUCCACGAAGAGUUCUGGGUCUGAUGCAGCUGUGCUCUGAUUUCUAGGUCAGGAGUGGCACUAUCUGUUUCUUGAAGGGAGUGGACGGUUAAUCCUGCAGCUCUGUGCUCUGACCAGAAUCUGUCAUUUGUAUCGGGCCGAUGGCUAAACAAGGCCCCUGUGGGUUGAUUUCUCCUAGGUCCACGUCCCUCUGUGCUGUGUCCUCACUGCUCCUCCCACCCACUGGUGGGGGGUUCAUUUCUCCACCCUCUGGAAUCUAGGUUGGACCUGUGAGUUGCUUUGGCCGGUAGAAUGCGGCAGAACUGACAUUCUGAAAUUUAAGAAGCUUUUUAAGAGAGCUUUUGCUUUCAACUUGGAGAGAAACAUACUUGCCGUGUAAACAGCCCAGAGUAGCCGUAGAGAGAGAGGUCACAAGGAAGAAAAAAAGAGAUUUCGGGGAGCAGAGAGGAGUGGUCCCUAACGAGCCCUGCCCGAAUUUCUGAUCUUUAGUAUCAGGAGCAAGUGGAAUGAUUGUCUUUUUCUGCCACUAAGAUUUGGGGUGAUUUAUUAGGCAGCAAUCAAAAAUGGAUACAUUAUCAUGUUC